UACGGAGGAUGCGAGCGUUAUCCGGAUUUAUUGGGUUUAAAGGGUGCGUAGGCGGCCAUUUAAGUCAGCGGUGAAAUUUUGCAGCUUAACUGUAACAGUGCCGUUGAUACUGUUUAUCUUGAGUGUGGUCAAGGCAGGCGGAAUGUGUAAUGUAGCGGUGAAAUGCUUAGAUAUUACACAGAACACCGAUUGCGAAGGCAGCUUGCUGGGCCAUUACUGACGCUGAUGCACGAAAGCGUGGGGAGCGAACAGGAUUA
rnacentral:rRNA from 1 species